AUUGAACGAUGGCGGCAGGCAUAACACAUGCAAGUCGAGCGGAGCGGCGGACGGGUGAGUAAUGCCUAGGAAUCUGCCUGGUCGUGGGGGAUACCGUCCGGAAACGGGCGCUAAUACCGCAUAAUAUCACAUGAGCCUAGGUCGGCUUAGCUAGGUGUUGGGGGAAAGGCCUACCAGGGCGACAAUCCUUAACUGGUCUGGGAGGAGGAUCAGUCACACUGGAACUGAGCAACGGUCCAGACUCCUACGGGAGGCAGCAGUGGGGAAUAUUGGACAAUGGGCGAAAGCCUGAUCCAGCCAUGCCGCGUGUGUGAAGAAGGUCUUCGGAUUGUAAAGCACUUUAAGUUGGGAGGCGUUACCAACAGAAUAAGCACCGGCUAACUUCGUGCCAGCAGCCGCGGUAAUUC
rnacentral:rRNA from 1 species